AUGAGAACUUGCCCUCCGGGGUAGAUCUCCCACCCUCUGUUUACAUACUUUGUUGCUUUGGCAGGCCCGUCUUCGGACCGCCGGCUUCGGCUGGCCCGUGCCUGCCAGAGGCCCGACAAAUUCUGAUUGUCAGUGUCGUCUGAGUACUAUAUAAUAGUUA
rnacentral:misc_RNA from 1 species